rnacentral:rRNA from 1 species
UACGUAGGGGGCGAGCGUUGUCCGGAUUUAUUGGGCGUAAAAGGCUUGUAGGUGGCCACGCCAAGUCGGAUGUGAAAUCUCCCGGCUCAACUGGGAGGGGUCAUUCGAUACUGGCGGGCUCGAGGCCGGUAGGGGGAAGUGGAAUUCCCGGUGUAGUGGUGGAAUGCGUAGAUAUCGGGAGGAACACCAGUGGCGAAGGCGGGUCUCUGGACAGUUCCUGACGCUGAGGCACGAAGGCCAGGGGAGCAAACGGG